UAGCUCUGUUUUAUGCUUGAAAUGGUGGAAAUGUGAUGCCAUUUUUGUUUAUUUCAGUAAUUAUUCAAGGAUCUUAAAGAGUUUGCUGGAAAAAAUCUUCUGAAGGAUUUGCUCUUCCUAGCAAAUAUGCCCAGCUUGUUUUGUCAUGCCUUUGGGUAGACAACUGAAUGAGAAUGUUGUUAGAAGAGGAAAACCUUCUCAACCAAUUCCUCACCACAACGUAUGGCUCAAGGAGACAGCUUGAUCUCAAGCUGAACAGGAGGGCCAUGUCUUUACGUGACCAGAGUAGUCAUGGGCUCCAAUUGAAAUUUCAACCACUAAACCCAGCAGCUGGAUCACAGUAAAGGAUUUCAAUCAAAGACAUCAAGAUUGAAUCAUGCUGAUCACCUCGAACUUUUCAGUGAAAGCAUCCAGAUAAAGAGCAUUAAAAACUCUUAAAUGCUAUUACACUACAGAGUGUAACACUACAAGAUAUUUAAAGGUAAGCACAGCCCCAAUUUUGUUCUUUCUUUUAAGUUAUGUGUCCAAAAAUUUCUUGCUCCUCUUGAUGUCCCUUGCUAAGGGACACCUUGGUUUUGCACCUUGAUUUUGUCCUUUGGUUAUUUGAUUUCAGCCAGCAUGCCUGAUCUAUAAUUUUGUAAGUACACAUCAUCUUCAACAACCUGAUUUAAUUUAAAUUUCCAGUACUGUUCUUUCCUGCACUAUAGAAUUAAAAAUUACUGAUUAAACCUAUGUGAUUUUUCACUACUCUGUCUUUCCUCCCCCCAGAAUAGUAUUGUUUAGACUUUAAUUCUAAAUACUGCAUCGCUAAGGAGCUGCCAGAUUUCCUCAGGGUUUUUUUAGAUCAG
rnacentral:lncRNA from 1 species